rnacentral:rRNA from 1 species
CAGUAGCCGCGGGAAUACGAGGGGGGCAAGCGUUGUUCGGAAUUAUUGGGCGUAAAGGGUGCGUAGGCGGUUUGGCAAGUUUGGUGUGAAAUCUUCGGGCUCAACUCGAAGUCUGCAUCGAAAACUGCCGGGCUUGAGUAUGGGAGAGGUGAGUGGAAUUUCCGGUGUAGCGGUGAAAUGCGUAGAUAUCGGAAGGAACACCUGUGGCGAAAGCGGCUCACUGGACCAUAACUGACGCUGAUGCACGAAAGCUAGGGGAGCAAACAGGAUUAGAUACCCCAGUAGUCCCUGUCUCUUAUAC